rnacentral:rRNA from 1 species
UCGAGAAUCUUUCGCAAUGCCCGAAAGGGUGACGAAGCGACGCCGCGUGCGGGAGGAAGGCCUUCGGGUUGUAAACCGCUGUCGGGAGUUAAGAAAUGCAAGGAUGUUAAUAGCGUUCUUGCUUGACUAAGGCUCCGGAGGAAGCCACGGCUAACUCUGUGCCAGCAGCCGCGGUAAUACAGAGGCGGCAAGCGUUGUUCGGAAUUAUUGGGCGUAAAGAGCACGUAGGCGGCUGUGUAAGUCGGUUGUGAAAGCCUUCCGCUCAACGGAAGAACGGCAUCCGAUACUGCAUGGCUUGAGUGUGGGAGGGGAGAGUGGAACUUCUGGUGGAGCGGUGAAAUGCGUAGAUAUCAGAAGGAACACCGGCGGCGAAGGCGACUCUCUGGUCCAUAACUGACGCUGAGUGUGCGAAAGCUAGGGGAGCAAACGGGAUUAGAUACCCACAUAGUCCCUGAGCGGGCUGGCAAGGCGCAU